CAGCACCUCAAGUGGUCAGGAUGAUUAUUGGGCCUAAAGCAUCCGUAGCCUGUUCUGUAAGUUUCCGGUUAAAUCCAUUAGCUCAACUAAUGGGCUGCCGAAAAUACUGCAGAACUAGGGAGUGGGAGAGGUAGACGGUACUCGGUAGGAAGGGGUAAAAUCCUUUGAUCUAUUGAUGACCACCUGUGGCGAAGGCGGUCUACCAGAACACGUUCGACGGUGAGGGAUGAAAGCUGGGGGAGCAAACCGGAUUAGAUACCCGUGUAGUCC
rnacentral:rRNA from 1 species